GUACUUUGACUGUGCAAAGGUAGCAUAAUCACUUGUCUCUUAAUUGGGGGCUGGAAUGAAUGAGGCGACGAAAUCUAAACUAUUAUUGUAUGGUGUGAAAUUGACAUAAAGGUUAAAAGGCUUUUAUAAAUCAAAGGGACGAUAAGACCCUAUAAAACUUUACUAUAGUUAAGUUAUUUUAGGUUGUUAUUAUACUAUAGUUUAACUGGGGCGGUUGAAAUACAAACAAUUAUAGUAUAAAUAUAUUGAAUAGAGAUUUAGAACUCCUAAUGGAAAUAAACAAGUUACUUUAGGGAUAACAGCAUAAUUCUCUCAGAUAGUCCUAAUUGGCGAGAGAGCUUAUGACCUCGAUGUUGAAUUGGGGUGUCUAAUAUAAGCAAAAAUAUAUUAAGAGAGUCUGUUCGACUUUUAAACCCCC
rnacentral:rRNA from 1 species